CCUACGGGGGGCAGCAGUGGGGAAUUUUGGACAAUGGGCGCAAGCCUGAUCCAGCAAUGCCGCGUGCAGGAUGAAGGCCUUCGGGUUGUAAACUGCUUUUGUACGGAACGAAACGGUGAGCUCUAAUAAAGCUUGCUAAUGACGGUACCGUAAGAAUAAGCACCGGCUAACUACGUGCCAGCAGCCGCGGUAAUACGUAGGGUGCGAGCGUUAAUCGGAAUUACUGGGCGUAAAGCGUGCGCAGGCGGUUAUAUAAGACAGAUGUGAAAUCCCCGGGCUCAACCUGGGACCUGCAUUUGUGACUGUAUAGCUAGAGUACGGUAGAGGGGGAUGGAAUUCCGCGUGUAGCAGUGAAAUGCGUAGAUAUGCGGAGGAACACCGAUGGCGAAGGCAAUCCCCUGGACCUGUACUGACGCUCAUGCACGAAAGCGUGGGGAGCAAACAGGAUUAGAUACCCUUGUAGUC
rnacentral:rRNA from 1 species